CUUCAUCGGCGCCACAUCGCUCCUUGGCUAACUCCCCCAAUUUGUCUUGGAUCUGCAAUUUUGCCGGAUUGCGGUGAUUGUAAUUUGUAAAAUGAGAUCUGGAUCGCCGUAUUGGAGGAGGAUUGCUAUGACGGAGAGGCUGCCGUCGUCUGCCUGAUGGAGUAGAUGAAGCUCGGCUGCGAAUCUGUUCCAAUCGGAAAGUACGGAGAAGCCCACUCACGACUUCACCUUCGAAGAUGCCCAAUGCCCGAGGUUGAGUUCUCGAUGGAUGGUAGUUUGGUAAUGUUCAUAUUUCUCAUCUUCUAUUUUUGUUUUAAAAUUUAGAAAAACAACCUUUUGAUAAAUAUCCUCAUUUUUAAGCAACAUUUUUA